ensembl:lncRNA
GCUCAUCCCAAAAGUCAGGUCUGCUAAGAGUCCCAGGAUGUGAGUCAAGAAGCGGACAGCUACUGGAGAAUAAAGUUCAUUGCAGUUCAAAGCUUUGCCAUAGGGACUUAUUCCACCAGAUACAUGGGCAAAACCAUGGGAUAGAAAUAAUGUAUAUUCAGGAAAACAGAAAUCACCAGGAGCAGUGCAGAGUGAAACAGGAAGACCAGAAGUAAUGAGAAAAACAAAAUCUGACCCUUGUAAAGACUGGAACAACUACAAUCAAAACCUCUGCAUGAAGCCGUGACACAGUCGACAGUGAUGAAUAUCUGCAUUGAUCACGUUCCCUUAACAAUAAUCUUCUGUCCUCUAGUUGAGGCUGAAGAAGGCAAAAUUGGAGGGCUAAAAAUGGAAACCAACAAAUGUCCUGCUCCUUUGUUAAAUAACACUGGAAUCCUGUGAGCUUUUCAUCUCAACAUAAAAUACUGUUGAGAAUGAGUAGAAAUAAGCUGG